rnacentral:lncRNA from 1 species
UCGUGGUCGGUGACUCUCUCAGCCCAAACUCUCUCACUCUCUUGCCUCUCUAACCCAAGAAACUUGGGACUUCUUGUGGUGUGAAGCUCGUACCUUGUCUCUGGGAUCACAGCUACAACACCAGGUUCUUUCUCCAGCUUCUCUGCUUCCUCUUUGCUAAGCCGAGCAGCUAAUCCGUGGCGAGAAGACCUUAUGCUCUUACCCGGAUUGGAAUCCUGAGCCUUAGUCUUCUGACCUUUUUUCCUCCCUUUCUGCACCCCUAACUUCUCCCAUUCCUUAACUCUUUGAUCAAUAAUAUCAUCUUCCUGAGAACCACUGGCUAGAGUUUCCAUUUCCUCUUUUUCCUGAAUCUCUUCUAAAAGUUCACCUUCCUCCUCUUCAUCCAUAAGAACAGAGAACUUAGAAGCUGAUAUCUCAAUAACUGAAGUAUUACUCUGCAACGUAACUGUCUGCACUUUCCCUUCUUUCGCUAGAGAUACCCCAGACCAACCCUUUUCCUUCACCUUAAUUCCUUCCUCUAUAUUAUCUUCCUCCCCAAUAUCAACUUUCUGAACCAUGACCUCCACUUCCUUUAUUUGACUACUCUCUGCACUUCCUCUUAUCUUUUCACUUGUCUCCACUUCCUUCCUCUUAAUUUCACUCCUCGAACUCUUAUUCUUAACUCCAGGACUAUCUUUAUACUUUUUUCCCUUCCCUUUUAGUGCGCACACUACUUCACCAUGCCCCCAUUUAUCACACAAUUUACAUCGUGCAGGGAGCCAAGGGUAGUAGUACUUCACCGUGAACUGCUUGCCUUCCUUAGUGAAAGUAAUCUCUUUUGGCAACACCUUUGAUGUAUCCACCUUAACAAAAACUUUAGCUUCCUCCAAGUUGGUACACGUAAUGGUUUCCUGAUGGAGUUUCACCGGGAACCCAACUGUACUAGUGAUGAAACUGAACCCCUCCCACGAGUACAUAUGAAGAGGAACUUUCUCCAGAUGAACCCACAUAGGAAUAGCUUCAUCUUCUUGUUUCUCAUUCUCUGUUGUUGGCGUCCAUCUCGUUACAACCAUUGGCACCCCAGCAAUGUUCCACAUUCCUCUACGAAGUAUCUUUUCUCUAGCUUUCGGAUUUGAUACCUUGAACCUCAUCAUAGUAGCGUUUACAUCAUAAACAUCCACCUUAGCAGAUGAAUCUCCAUAACGCCAAAUCUUGUUAAGAACCAUAAGGACUUUUGCGAUGUGAGACACUUGAUCCAAAAACUUCCCUACUACGAAAUCUUCCCAUAACGGAGUUGAAUUCGCAAUAAUCUCAUCUGGAAUUUCCAUUGUGUUCUUACCAUCCUUCUCCAAUACCUCUACCUCAUGUUUCUUCAACGAUUUCUUAUCUUGCGCAACAUCAACCCAGCUCUCCGUUUUCUUCGUUACCACAGCCCGAUCUGUAAUCACAUCACCCUCCAGAAUCUCCUUAAUCACCUUAACACCCUCCGGAGGGUCCGACAAAUCCGGCGGAAUAGCCAGAUCCAUCGAUCGAAACCCUGUCACUCGUUGCACUCAAAAUCGCCAAGAGAAUCGCCUUUUAUAAAUCGACCUAAUCACAUACUAACCAUCUCUUUAUAUAUGUGUAUGUGACGAGAUCAACCCUUCUGGAGUGGGCCUGGGUGGACUUGGCCCAAGACGAUUUACUACUGUGCUCCCAUGAAGCUCUCUCGUAAACCCAAGCUUCACACCAUGUUUUCAAAAUUUGUCUGCGUUUCAACAUGUCCCAAAAAGAUAUUUUGGUGUAGAUUGAAGUCAGCUUUGUCAGUCAUAAUGUCUCCCAAACAGUUAGUUUUUGUGGACGCAAGAUUUAUUUCAGACAACAUUCUCACUGCACAUGAAAAGAUAGAUAACAUGCAAAUAAACUAAUCAAUCUCCAAAUAAUUCAUGGUGAUCAAGUCAGAUAUGUCAAUAACAUAUGACAGGUUUGGAGAAAAUUGUUGGUAGCAGUGGGUUUCAUCAAAGAUGUAUUGAAUUGGAGCUGUUAUGUAUCAUGUCAGCCACUUGCUCAGUUUUGAUCAAUGAUCAAUCGUUAGAUAGAUUUGUGUCGGCGAGAGGACUGAGGUGGGGUAUACAAAACAAUUCAUCUUCAUUCUAUUUAUACAAGGUCUUGGAAAAUGGAAUUGUAUUGAGAAAUCUAGAAAAUAUUAGAAGAAUUCAAAUCAAGACUAUUAGGGACAAAAGUCUCACAUCGGUAGUUGGAAGAGAUCUUUAGUAAUAUAUAAGAUAGAUGGGCCACUCCACUUAUCACCAAUUGGUUUUAGGUUGGAAGCCCAUGUAGCUUAACAUGGUAUCAGAACCCGAUCCACGCAGUCCAACCCGAUCAACAUCGACCCGGCCCAAAGUUGGCCCUCGAUCCUUGCCCAAACAUUCCGAGAUUGAUUCUUAAAGAGCCAUCAUCUCGAGUGGACGUAUUUAGAGACAAAGGUCCCACAUCGAUAGUUGGAAGAGAUCUUUAGUAAUAUAUAAGAUAGAUGGGCCAUUCCACUUAUCACCAAUUGGUUUUAGGUUGGAAUCUCAUCUAGCUUAACAACAUGUAGAAUGUGAACGAGUUAUAUAAAGCAUUUGCAUUCUUUUUGUGCAGGAGUCUGAUGAAAACACGAUAUUUUAUUUAAAAAGAUAGCUUAUGCAAGAACAUGAACUAAAACUACUCACAAAGUUUUUUUAAAGCAUUGCUUCUAGAGAAGAGCUCUCCCUUACAUAAAGAAAAUCUUAUUUGUGAAACUAAAACAUUAGAGUUUCUUGAAUAACGGUUUGUCCUCUCUUCUACAGAGGUGGCAACCAUGUGAUUAUAACCGGGCUACGAACCUUAUGCGUCGCACUCUUCCACAAAAGACCACCAAACUCAGGCCUCUUCAUCCGCAGCUUCGUCCUGAAAGUAACAGUGUAGGAAAGCUUCUGGUGCUUGGUAGUGAAGUUGAGUGUCUUGGGCUGGACUGUGACGGUUGCGCCUUUGAAAGGAGAGACAGAGACCUUGUAGCUAGAAACGUGAGGACCAACGUUGGUCACGGUUCUUCUAAGUGUCAUAGCUUUAACAUGUGUGUUCUCUGGGAACAAAGCUGAGAUCGCCGGGUAGUUCAAGUUUCCAGGGUUAUUACCGGCAAGACUGUGUCUGCAAGAUCUGUUUGAAUGCUUUGUGAAGACCUUGAGCUGUGAAGGACUCAACUCCUGAGUGCAGAGGAAAUCAAAAUACUCCUGAGGUCCAAUGUCGUAGACUAGACCAGGAUCCAUAGCUUUCAGAGGAUCUAUAUGUCCAGCACCGUGAUCAUAAGGCGACGAAGGUUCUGCUCCUGCUGCAUCCGUAAGAGGCUCAAGCAUGUUGUCGUGAACGUAAGCGGUUGUCAUGAGAGCUGAUUUGACCGCUGCAGGGCUCCAAUCUGGAUGCCUUGAUCUGAUCAAAGCAGCCACGCCGCUCACGUGAGGACAUGACAUGGAAGUUCCCGACAGUAUAUUGAAAUUAACCCUCCUUUUGUCAGACGACAAACUCGACGGCGCCAUGUCUCCAGACCAAGCUGCAAGAAUGUUGACUCCCGGAGCUAACAAGUCCGGUUUCAAGAUCUCCAGGGAGAGAAAGUUUGGUCCUCUUGAAGAGAAUGCUGCUACAACUGGAGACGGUUUGAUCCCAACUCUUGUCCCAAGAAUCUCCAAACUCGCUGUAGCUCUUUUACUCGUCAUCGCAUACUCCUUGAUCACUUUACCUUCUUUCUCUCCUACCGCUACAGCUGGUAGCAAAUGACAAUCUGCGACAAGCUCUUCACCGUUCGUCGCGGUGUUGGUCAGUAUUAUCCCAACACCUCCUGCUCUUUUCACAACCUGGCCCUUCUGCACACGUGGAGUAACACCACGGUCGCAUAUCACGAUUUUCCCCGCUACGUUGUGCUGGUCCAAAGCACCGUCUAGACAGAACGACGUCGGAUCAGGACUACUUGCGUUCCUUCCUAAGUAAACAAGAGGAUACUGUUUGGCCCGAGACAAAACUGUUCUGCCUUUGUAAAGAGAAACUCCUUUGAAGACUCUCGUAGUUCCUAGCUUCACCGUGGCUGGAAAGUCUCUGUCCAUGGUACUUGCCCCAACCGUUGUGAUCCACGGAGAAACGUUCGUGAGGCUGAUCGGAUCAGGUCCUCCGUUACCGGCUGAACACGAGACGAACACUCCCAUCUCCAUUGCUCCAAACGUUGCUAUUGCCAAACUGUCACGGGAAUAAGUCGAGAUCCCACCGCCUAAGGAUAUAGAGAGAACAUGGACUCCAUCAGCAACGGCUUGAUCAACCGCUGAUAAGAUGUCCGAGCUGAAACAUCCACCAACCCAACAGACUUUGUAAGCAGCGACUCUCGCCUUCGGAGCCAUCCCUCGAGCCGUUCCAUAAGCAAAUCCGAGAAGAUUUGCUCCUCUGACAGGCGAGCCAGCUACUGUUGCUGCAGUGUGCGUCCCGUGACCGUCUUUGUCUCUUGGUGAUCUGUACUCAAGCUCCUGGUCGAUCUUCCCCGUUGCAGCUUCGUAUCCUCUGUAGAAAACUCUAGCACCGACAAUCUUUCUGUUGCAGUUACUUCUCAAGAACCCUCUUCCGGUUUCACAGGCUCCUCUCCAAGUAGAAGGAACAGGGGACAUGCCUGUGUCGUUGAAGCUCUCACUCUCAGGCCAUAUCCCAGUGUCUAAAACACCAACUAUCACAUCGUGGUCGGUGACUCUCUCAGCCCAAACUCUCUCACUCUCUUGCCUCUCUAACCCAAGAAACUUGGGACUUCUUGUGGUGUGAAGCUCGUACCUUGUCUCUGGGAUCACAGCUACAACACCAGGUUCUUUCUCCAGCUUCUCUGCUUCCUCUUUGCUAAGCCGAGCAGCUAAUCCGUGAAACGCAGUCUGGUAAGUGUAGAGUAUUCUGUUACCUUCUUCUUCAUGUGAUUUGGGAUCUGUUACAGAG